GACGAACGCUGGCGGCGUGCCUAAUACAUGCAAGUAGAACGCUGAAGGAGGAGCUUGCUUCUCUGGAUGAGUUGCGAACGGGUGAGUAACGCGUAGGUAACCUGCCUGGUAGCGGGGGAUAACUAUUGGAAACGAUAGCUAAUACCGCAUAAAGUAGAUGUUGCAUGACAUUUGCUUAAAAGGUGCAAUUGCAUCACUACCAGAUGGACCUGCGUUGUAUUAGCUAGUUGGUGGGGUAACGGCUCACCAAGGCGACGAUACAUAGCCGACCUGAGAGGGUGAUCGGCCACACUGGGACUGAGACACGGCCCAGACUCCUACGGGAGGCAGCAGUAGGGAAUCUUCGGCAAUGGACGGAAGUCUGACCGAGCAACGCCGCGUGAGUGAAGAAGGUUUUCGGAUCGUAAAGCUCUGUUGUAAGAGAAGAACGAGUGUGAGAGUGGAAAGUUCACACUGUGACGGUAUCUUACCAGAAAGGGACGGCUAACUACGUG
rnacentral:rRNA from 1 species